UAUUCAAAUUUUUAUUAUUAAUAUUUAAAAAAAGGAAUUUUUAGUUAGAGUAAUUUUUGAUAAAAUUAAUUUUAUGAUAAUUUAGUUGUACAGUGAUGGGAAUUUUAAAAUUUAAAUAAGAAAAUUUUAUAUAUAGUACCUUUUGUAUCAGGGUUUAUUAAAACUUGAGUUUUUAUAAAGUUUUCCCGAAUUAUAGAGGGCUAAGAGUCUGUAAAUUUUAAUGUAGAAAAAUUAUUUAUAACAGAUUUUUUGUAAUUAUAUGUUAGUCAUUCUUUUAUAUAUCUGGUUUUCUAAGAAAUUAAUUAAAUUAACCAGAGUAAGAAUUUUUUUUUUUGAAUUUAAUUAUUACUUUAGGAAUUCUUAAGGGGAUAAGCUUUUAAGAUAAUUAUUAUAAUAAUGAACAGUUUAUUUUAAAUAGGAUUAGAAGUUUUCAUUUUUGGCAGUGUAUUUUAACUGAACUUAUAGUUUACGUGAUUUUUUUUUAUUUAAAGUUUUUAUUAGAAUUAUAGAAUUAAUGUUGUGUUUUAUGUAAUAAUGAUAGAAUUAGUAAAUAAUAAUGUAAAAUCGAUAAAAGUUGAUAAAUUAUUUUAAGGAAUUCGGCAAAUUAAUUUUCCGCCUGUUUAAUAAAAACAUGUCUUUUUGGUUAUAAUUUUAAGUCCGACCUGCCCAAUGAUUUUUUUAAUGGCCGCGGUAUUUUGACCGUGCAAAGGUAGCAUAAUCAUUAGUUUUUUAAUUGAAAGCUGGAAUGAAUGGUUCGACGAGAAAAUAACUGUCUUAAGUUAAUAAGUUUGAAUUUUAUUUUUGAGUGAAAAAGCUUAAAUUUUCAUGAGGGACGAGAAGACCCUAUAGAAUUUUAUUAUUUUCCUAGUAUAGUCAAGGUUUAGAAUUAUUAAUUCUAUAUUAGUAAAUUAAUUUUGUUGGGGCGAUAGGAAAAUUUAAUAAACUUUUCUUUUUCUUGAACACUAAUUCGUGUAUGAUUGAUCCAUUAUUAAUGAUUAUAAGAGUAAAUUACCUUAGGGAUAACAGCGUUAUUAAUUUGGAGAGUUCUUAUCGAUAAAUUAGUUUGCGACCUCGAUGUUGGAUUAAAAUUAACUUUUGGUGUAAGGGCUAAAAAGGUUAAGUCUGUUCGACUUUUAAAAUUUUACAUGAUCUGAGUUUAAACCGGCGUGAGCCAGGUUGGUUUCUAUCUUUAUAAUAAUAAAAUUUUUUAGUACGAAAGGACCAAAAAUUUUUUAUAUUAAAUUUUAUUUUGAAUAUUAAU
rnacentral:rRNA from 1 species